UUACAUUAAUUUCAACCAAGUUCUGACUCUUCUGUACUAUGAGGAUCAAUACAGGGGAAAGUUUGAUAUGAACUUUGGGGUUUCUACAUCUCUUCUUUUUACAUUGCCUUACACCAGUCAUACCUUGUGAAAACUGCAGAUGCAAAACAACCUGCCUCUGCCUCAAACAGCAGAUCCCACAUUCAAAGAGACCGUAUCUGCUCUUCUCUCAGGGUGAUGCUGACCUAGAACGCUACAGACAGAUUCUCAAGGGGACUGUUCACAAGGAAAACACAUCUGCAGCCUGUUUCCUGUCAUAUGUGAGAGGCAACUCAUACAGUACAUUACAAGUCCAAGAGGAGAAUUAUUAGUAAGCAACAGGAGCCUUGUCAAGUUCAAUAGGUUACUGGUUCUGAAGUCUGUUUUUCUACUCAGGGGACACUUAACAGAAGCCAGCCAAUGAAACCAAGUUCCGCAGUGACACACACAGCCCCAGUGAAGCCAAAGGUUUGUUAGUGUUUUUGCGAGAUCCAUCUUACCGAAAUUAGGUUUUCCAACUGCAAUGCUAGAGGAUCUCCUCUUCACAUCCAGGGGGACCAUAUCCCUAAGGAAGUAAUCUGCUUUCACUUGCUGAGGAAAAACUGCAACUUUAUUGCACUGCAAAAACUGUAAAUUUUUCUCCAGUGUCACAAAAAAAAGUUAACCCAGCAGAAUUAGGACUCCAAAUGGUGUUUCUAUGAUCAAGCAAAGAUAGCAUGGAAAUUUGAGAGAACUUGCAUAUAAACCAGAGGAUAGAUUUAUUAAUAACUUUUCUCAAAGGACUAAUGUACAGUAUACAAAUUCUUCAGAAAAAAGAGAAAAUGGUAACAGUGAAGACAAAGCAACCCAGAUGGCCCAUAAGCAGACUAAUUAUAUGAAAGACCCAGCAGCAACUCGAAAGUUACCAAUCCAGCUGCCUAGAGAGUGUGCCAGGUUGCCAGAUGUGAAAAUCUUCCACAGUUCAUCAAUGAAACACAGUAGC